rnacentral:rRNA from 1 species
GCGAUACCUAGUGUGAAUUGCAGAAUUCCGUGAAUCAUCGAGUUUUUGAACGCAAGUUGCGCCCGAGGCUCGUCCGAGGGCAUGCCUGCCUGAGCGUCCAU